rnacentral:rRNA from 1 species
AUUGAACGCUGGCGGCAGGCUUAACACAUGCAAGUCGAGCGAGCGGCGGACGGGUGAGUAAUGUCUGGGACACUGCCUGAUGGAGGGGUCUAACUACUGGAAAAGGUAGCUAAUACCGCAUACCAUCAGAUGUGCCCAGAGUGGAUUAGCAAGUAGGUGGGGUAAAGGCUCACCUAGGCGACGAUCCCUAGCUGGUCUACGAGGCUGACCAGCCACACUGGAACUGAGACACGGUCCAGACUCCGACGGGAGGCAGCAGUGGGGAAUAUUGCACAAUGGGCGAAAGUCUGAUGCAGCCAUGCCGCGGGGGUGAAGAAGGCCUUCGGGUUGUAAAGCACUUUUAGCGAGGAGGCGUUACUCGCACAAGAAGCACCGGCUAACUCCGUGCCAGCAGCCGCGGUAAUUC